ACAUGAGUAGACGAGAUCGUGCGAAAUAUUUGUAAGUAUGAUGCGUUCCGUUUCAUAAAUCAUAAAACUGUGAAGAGUGGGAAGAAGAUGAACAUGGCAUCAGCUAAAAAAUGUGGAACAAUGGUCACCAUCGAGGGAAUAAUUAUGUCAACACAUGUGCACGUCUACUUUCAUUGAAAAUUGAACUUAAGAAUUCUCCACUGCGUUAAGGAAAAUCUCUGCGUUACGCUGGUUUAGCAAUCAAUAGGACUGUAUCUUUCUGGUUUAUCAAGUUUAUUUACGUUCCACAUACUUCUAUGUGUCACAGGACGUUCCAGCCCAAACGUACGCCCUAAAUUCCUCUAGAUAAUUCACUUGCGUGUAUAAGCUA
rnacentral:lncRNA from 1 species